UGACCUGAAUCAGGUAGGCAGUGUGUUGUUAGCUGGCUGCUUAGGUCAAGUCAGCAGCCGCAACUACCCUGCCACUUGCUUCUGGAUAAAUUC
rnacentral:pre_miRNA from 1 species